rnacentral:rRNA from 1 species
GAUCCUGGCUCAGGAUGAACGCUAGCUACAGGCUUAACACAUGCAAGUCGAGGGGCAGCAUGAACUUAGCUUGCUAAGUUUGAUGGCGACCGGCGCACGGGUGAGUAACACGUAUCCAACCUGCCGAUGACUCGGGGAUAGCCUUUCGAAAGAAAGAUUAAUACCCGAUGGCAUAGUUCUUCCGCAUGGUGGAACUAUUAAAGAAUUUCGGUCAUCGAUGGGGAUGCGUUCCAUUUAGG